AGAGUUUGAUCAUGGCUCAGAGCGAACGCUGGCGGCAGGCCUAACACAUGCAAGUCGAACGAUCCUUCGGGAUAGUGGCGGACGGGUGAGUAACACGUGGGAACGUGCCCUUUGGUUCGGAACAACUCAGGGAAACUUGAGCUAAUACCGAAUGUGCCCUUCGGGGGAAAGAUUUAUCGCCAUUGGAGCGGCCCGCGUCUGAUUAGCUAGUUGGUGAGGUAAAGGCUCACCAAGGCUACGAUCAGUAGCUGGUCUGAGAGGAUGAUCAGCCACAUUGGGACUGAGACACGGCCCAAACUCCUACGGGAGGCAGCAGUGGGGAAUCUUGCGCAAUGGGCGAAAGCCUGACGCAGCCAUGCCGCGUGAAUGAUGAAGGUCUUAGGAUUGUAAAAUUCUUUCACCGGGGACGAUAAUGACGGUACCCGGAGAAGAAGCCCCGGCUAACUUCGUGCCAGCAGCCGCGGUAAUACGAAGGGGGCUAGCGUUGCUCGGAAUUACUGGGCGUAAAGGGAGCGUAGGCGGAUAGUUUAGUCAGAGGUGAAAGCCCAGGGCUCAACCUUGGAAUUGCCUUUGAUACUGGCUAUCUUGAGUACGGAAGAGGUAUGUGGAACUCCGAGUGUAGAGGUGAAAUUCGUAGAUAUUCGGAAGAACACCAGUGGCGAAGGCGACAUACUGGUCCGUUACUGACGCUGAGGCCCGAAAGCGUGGGGAGCAAACAGGAUUAGAUACCCUAGUAGUCC
rnacentral:rRNA from 1 species